AUUGCUUGGAACACAAGAAAUCAACAAAAGUUGAAUUCUGACUAUGUAAAUCGAUUGGGAAAUCGAUUUCAUAACAAGGGUGUAAGGAAAUCUUAAGUGUUUGUAAAUGUGAAAUCGAUUAGGCAAUCGAUUAGCUUAAUUAAAAAUGAAAACUGCACAAGUCAGUAGCCUCUGAUUUGGAGAGUAAUCGAUUGGGAAAUCGAUUGAACAUUUCACAAAUCAAACCUGAUGGUAACACAUCGAUUGGU
rnacentral:lncRNA from 1 species